CAUAGAGCGUUGGAACCACCUGAUCCCUUCCCGAACUCAGAAGUGAAACGACGCAUCGCCGAUGGUAGUGUGGGGUCUCCCCAUGUGAGAGUAGGUC
rnacentral:rRNA from 1 species